AGAUAUUCUAAAGGAGCAUUUUUUAAUCGAUUCUUCUGAAAAUUUAGCGACGUGCAGCAUGUGUGACAAAAAGAUGAAGUCAAUACCAUCAAAUCUUAAAAGACACAUAACCUCUCAACACCCAAACAUAAUGAAAGCAGAUGAAUCUAAUAGUGAUUCGUCCUUCAAUGCUAGAAAUACAGCAAAAGAAAAAUUCCCAAAAAUUAAGAUCGAUAAAUCUAAAGUUUUUGAAUGUAUAGUAUGGUUGAUUACAGUCCAUAAUUUACCCAUAAAUUUAGUAAAUUAUGAGGGUUUCCGUAUUUUACUAGACCCUAUAUGUCAUUCUCUUCAAAUGAAAAUAAAUACUCGGUCAGUGGUCGACAAAAUAAAAUAUACCGCAUCCGAAAUUAGACUUCAAAUUAUACAUGAAUUAAAAAACAAGCUCAUUUCUUUAAAAAUUGAUACUGCUACUAGAUAUAAUAAAUCAAUAUUAGGUAUUAAUGUUCAGUAUAUAAAAGAUGGCCAGAUACAAGU